UUUAGCCACUUGAUCAUGGAAUUGUUUUGCCACGUGUUACGAUCUGAAUGCGUGACACUGUGAGCCUUGUCACACACGAUCACAGAGCUUAUUCAUCGUCUUCGCCGUUUCAAAGAAAUCGCUCGUCUACGCCGUCGCCGUUUCAAACCUUCUUCUCCAUCGUCUUCGCCGUUUCAAAGCUCCUUCUUCGUCGUCUUCUCCAUUAUGUCCAUCGUCCGUUCGUUGUAGUACUAGAGUAAGCUUAUUCUCCGUCGCCGUUUCAAAGAUUCUUCUCCAUCGUCUUCUCCAUUCUCUCUAUCGUCUGUUCAUUGUAGUACUAGAGUGUUUUGUAUAUCCCCUACCAUACAUAGCUAGCUAGUUGUGUAAGUUGCUGGGAUUAAUCAGGGAUCAAGCUGCGGCAAUCAUACGUAGAUGUAGGUAAUAGACCAGUAACUGGCCUUAGAUUACAAUUGGAAGGGAAAAGAAGCAACCGGCUUGCCAUUCAUCUGCAGCAUCUGGCUUCUCUACCGAAGUCCUUAUCACUUGCAGACAGUGCAAAUGCUUAUUCGUCUUGUGACUUGUAUAGUUGCAAGUACCAUAAGAAACUGAAAUAAUCUCCCCAUCUCAGAUUGAACUCUCUCUCAGCUCCAACGCCGCUCUCUCUCACUGCAACGCCGCUCUCUCUCACUCCAACGUCGCUCUCUCUCAGCUCAAUGGAUUCACAAACUGUUCGCUCCGACUCUGCUAUCUGACGCCGACGUAGCUUGUUCCAACGUCGUCGUAUCUUGCCGCCGACGUAGCUCGCUCCGACGCCGACGACAACUCUUAUUUGUUAUUUUUAGGUAUUGAUUCCAUCUUUUAAUAUUUUGAUUCAAUCUCUUAUAGCUUGAAGCUAAAUUGAAGCAUUAUUGAAGCUAAAUUGUUAUGUUCCACGAGCUUGAAGAUUAAUUAGGUUCAAUUUAGUAUCAAAAUUGGCAUAAAAGUAUGCGUUUUGCAACUUCACAAAUACACGCUAUUAAGGCUAUUGAUGCAAUACCAUUCAGCAUGUUUCUUUCAGAAUCUGUUGAUAUGUUAGCUAGUUUGGAUCCAUAUCAACUUACUAAGGCUAUUUUGUGAUCAUGUUUAGAUAAAAUUUAUCCGGGUUGUGCAUUAGUUUGUGCAUUAGAUAAAAAUCUUACUAAGGCUAUUUUGUGAUCAUGUUUAGAUAAAAUUUAGGGCGGUGCAGGUGUGCAACACAAUUAAGAAAUGUGGAGAUAUAAGUUUGAGCUCAUAGUAUUUUAUGUUUCUGUACUAUAAGAGUGAUGUGUGAUGACAAA